rnacentral:rRNA from 1 species
AUUGAACGCUGGCGGCAGGCUUAACACAUGCAAGUCGAACGGAACCUUCGGGUUUAGUGGCGAACGGGUGAGUAAUACCUAGGAAUCUGCCUAUUAGUGGGGGAUAACGGCUCGAAAGGGUCGCUAAUACCGCAUACGUCCUACGGGAGAAAGAGGGGGAUCUUCGGACCUCUUGCUAAUAGAUGAGCCUAGGGCCGGAUUAGCUAGUUGGUAGGGUAAAGGCCUACCAAGGCGACGAUCCGUAGCUGGUCUGAGAGGGAUGAUCAGCCACACUGGAACUGAGACACGGUCCAGACUCCUACGGGAGGCAGCAGUGGGGAAUAUUGGACAAUGGGGGCAACCCUGAUCCAGCCAUGCCGCGUGUGUGAAGAA